CAAUCCCCAGAGUUCUAUGCAGCCCCCGCCUCGUUGGAUGAAACCUCCCAAGGUCCGGGAUGCGGUCCGAUUCCUCCCCCUGGUGGUCUGAGGCGUCGCCACCACGAUUACAAGACCCGCGCGGAGGGUUACUGCUUGUAGUCCCGAAACUCACUGACAUGGAACAGGGGCGAACCUGAGUGAUCACGGAUACGCCCCACCCUCAGCCCAGCCCUUCCAUCCGUCAUCGCUUUGCUGCUCUUGUGCUGGUUCUUAGGGACACACUGGUGAAUAAGAUACUGUCCCUAGCCUCCAGUGAAAUCACAGUCUAGUGGAAGAGUCUGACAAAUCAAUUACAACACCGCGAUAUGGGCUCCGAUGGCGGACACAAUGGGGGGUGUGGGAACCCCGAAAGGGGCACCUGCCCAGGCUUGGAGGAAAUGGGAUGGUGUCAGCAAGGCUUCUUAGAGAUCUAUGUUAAAAUUAAGAACUGAGGGAACAGGACUUAGCCAGGAGCACAGGAAUUGUGAAGAAUGUUUUACACUCAGUAACACAAGAGUGUGAGGGUUGCCACAUCCUUGAGUCUUGUAAACUUCUGUAACAAAUUUGGAUCAUUCAAGCAACUUUAAAAACUU